rnacentral:rRNA from 1 species
GUUGACCUCGGAUCAGGUAGGGAUACCCGCUGAACUUAAGCAUAUCAAUAAGCGGAGGAAAAGAAACCAACAGGGAUUGCCCUAGUAACGGCGAGUGAAGCGGCAACAGCUCAAAUUUGAAAGCUGGCCUUCGGGUCCGCAUUGUAAUUUGUAGAGGAUGCUUUGGGUGAAACGCCAGUCUAAGUUCCUUGGAACAGGACGUCAUAGAGGGUGAGAAUCCCGUAUGUGACUGGAAAUGUUAACCUAUGUAAAGCUCCUUCGACGAGUCGAGUUGUUUGGGAAUGCAGCUCUAAAUGGGAGGUAAAUUUCUUCUAAAGCUAAAUAUUGGCGAGAGACCGAUAGCGCACAAGUAGAGUGAUCGAAAGAUGAAAAGCACUUUGGAAAGAGAGUUAAAAAGCACGUGAAAUUGUUGAAAGGGAAGCGCUUGCAAUCAGACUUGUUUAAACUGUUCGGCCGGUCUUCUGACCGGUUUACUCAGUUUGGACAGGCCAGCAUCAGUUUCGGCGGCCGGA